rnacentral:tRNA from 1 species
GGUGGGGUGUCCGAGUGGCGAAGGAGCACGCCUGGAAAGUGUGUAUACGGCAACGUAUCGGGGGUUCGAAUCCCCCCCUCACCGCCA